UAGGGAAUCUUCGGCAAUGGGGGGAACCCUGACCGAGCAACGCCGCGUGAGUGAAGAAGGUUUUCGGAUCGUAAAGCUCUGUUGUUAAGGAAGAACGAGUGUGAGAAUGGAAAGUUCAUACUGUGACGGUACUUAACCAGCAAGGGACGGCUAACUACGUGCCAGCAGCCGCGGUAAUACGUAGGUCCCGAGCGUUGUCCGGAUUUAUUGGGCGUAAAGCGAGCGCAGGCGGUUAGAUAAGUCUGAAGUUAAAGGCAGUGGCUCAACCAUUGUAUGCAUUGGAAACUGUUUAACUUGAGUGCAGAAGGGGAGAGUGGAAUUCCAUGUGUAGCGGUGAAAUGCGUAGAUAUAUGGAGGAACACCGGUGGCGAAAGCGGCUCUCUUGUCUGUAACUGACGCUGAGGCUCGAAAGCGUGGGGAGCGAACAGG
rnacentral:rRNA from 1 species